GAGGCUGGCGCUCUUCAGUCUCUGCCCCACCUCCCCCAGGGCUCUGCCAUCUUUUCAUGACGUCAUGCCCUUCCCUGCGUCCCCCCUACCCUGGAGCACCCUGUGACCCCGACCUGGGAAGCAGUACAGUGAGUGGAAUGGGAACUUGCUGUCUUAUUAAAAGGCAAGAUGACAUGAAAUGAGGUGCUGACUCACAAUGGAAUCAGGAGAUCAAAGGGGCAAAGACACCCACCCAGGCUGCAGAGCGGGCGAACGUCAGAACUGAGGUUGGAGCCCAGCGCUCUGCUUGUGGGUCCCUCCUACGAACAACUCGCUGCCUUACACACCCCGAGGCCUCUGACUUCACUUGUUGCAAAGGAGGGAGAGAGGAUCUUUAGGGGUGCUCCCCCUGCCCACGAUGGGGAGCACUUGAACAGCCAUCUCUGGACCAUCUCGCACACGCAUCUUGGUCUCUCGUCUUCUUAGCUGCCCUUCCCUCCUUUCCAGCAGACACGUAGGGAAACUGAUGCAUGAAAUGACAGGGGGAGUCAACUCAGGCUGAGGGAGUUUGGCGAGGAACGUGGACACAAGGCGAGGGAGGGGAGCAGGGGCUCCGGGGUCAGGAGAGACGGCUUCUUGUCCUGGAUCUGCCGUGCGCUGGGACUGUGUCAUCCUCAUCGCCGACCUUCAGUUUUCUCACCUUUAAAAUAAAAGGCUUGGUUGCGGGGAGGGUAGAGUGUGUACCUAGCAUGCACGAGGUCCUGGGUUCAAUUUCCACUACCUUCAUUAAAAAGAAAUAAAUAAAUUAGUUCCCCCUCCCCCAAAAUAAACAAAAUAAACGGCUUGGACUAAAGGAGCCAUGUGAUGUUCUUCCCCUAGAACGUUGUGGCAGGUGAAGCUGCCGUAUGAGUGAAACUCCAGGGUUCCCCGUUGCUCUGCACUCUCGCUACGGGCUGACGCCCCUUCCGUCCAGGUUGGGAUGUGGAGGCCCAGCCGUGGUUUCUGUUCCUCGCCCUUCUUCUCUUCUCUCCCAUGUCCACAGCCAGAAUUGCCUGGAUACCCCUGGGAGCUGCAGAAUCAGAAGCCAAACCUCCUUUCCUGCCCCAGUGCGGCUGCGUUCCCCCAGCGUGGGAUGCAGGAAGCCAGACUGGCUUGGCACUGGCUCUCUGGUUCAGGCAGGUUGGGGAAGGCAGAGAAUUGCUGAUUAUGUUCGGUGUUAGGGGAUUUGCGGGGAGGAGGAGCCGGGGGCUUGGCAGAAUUUCCUCGCAGCUUGGAGGCCCCUGAAUGCUGGGGGCACUGCCUGCCCAAUUCCCAGAGCCCAGGGCCCAGAUGGCCCCUGUCAGCCCUUGAAUGGGGGCCGGUUCUGUGCUGAGUCUAGCGGGGAGGGGUCUCCAGAGGCCUCUGC